rnacentral:tRNA from 1 species
GGGGAUGUAGCUCAGUUGGUAGAGCACUUGCUUCGCAUGUAAGGGGUCAGGAGUUCGAGUCUCCUCAUCUCCACCA